AUUUACAGCCAUAUCUCAUCCUUGAAAGCAUUUGAUUUCUUCUGUUCUAGGAGCUAAGCAGGUUUGGGCCUGGUUAGUACUUGGAUGGGAGACGUCCUGGGAUGAAAGUUUUUUGUAUUCA
rnacentral:rRNA from 1 species